rnacentral:rRNA from 1 species
GAUGAACGCUAGCGACAGGCUUAACACAUGCAAGUCGAGGGGCAGCAUAAAAGUAGCAAUACUUUGGUGGCGACCGGCGCACGGGUGAGUAACGCGUAUGCAACCUACCUAUCAGAGGGGAAUAACCCGGCGAAAGUCGGACUAAUACCGCAUAAAACAGGGGCACCGCAUGGUGAUAUUUGUUAAAGAAAUUCGCUGAUAGAUGGGCAUGCGUUCCAUUAGGUAGUUGGUGAGGUAACGGCUCACCAAGCCGACGAUGGAUAGGGGAACUGAGAGGUUGGUCCCCCACACUGGUACUGAGACACGGACCAGACUCCUACGGGAGGCAGCAGUGAGGAAUAUUGGUCAAUGGGCGAGAGCCUGAACCAGCCAAGUCGCGUGAAGGAAGAAGGAUCUAUGGUUCGUAAACUUCUUUUGCAGGGGAAUAAAGUGCAGGACGUGUCCUGUUUUGUAUGUACCCUGAGAAUAAGGAUCGGCUAACUCCGUGCCAGCAGCCGCGGU